GAUGAACGCUGGCGGCGUGCCUAAUACAUGCAAGUCGAACGAAACUUCUUUAUCACCGAGUGCUUGCACUCACCGAUAAAGAGUUGAGUGGCGAACGGGUGAGUAACACGUGGGCAACCUGCCCAAAAGAGGGGGAUAACACUUGGAAACAGGUGCUAAUACCGCAUAACCAUAGUUACCGCAUGGUAACUAUGUAAAAGGUGGCUAUACUACCGCUUUUGGAUGGGCCCGCGGCGCAUUAGCUAGUUGGUAGGGUAAAGGCUUACCAAGGCAAUGAUGCGUAGCCGAAUUGAGAGGUUGAUCGGCCACAUUGGGACUGAGACACGGCCCAAACUCCGACGGGAGGCAGCAGUAGGGAAUCUUCCACAAUGGGCGAAAGCCUGAUGGAGCAACGCCGCGUGGGUGAAGAAGGUCUUCGGAUCGUAAAACCCUGUUGUUAGAGAAGAAAGUGCGUGAGAGUAACUGUUCACGUUUCGACGGUAUCUAACCAGAAAGCCACGGCUAACUACGU
rnacentral:rRNA from 1 species